CGUUGGCGGCCGACGGUGUGCUUAGCGGCCCAGCGCCGCUGCCGAUAACCGACAUGCGCGUUUCAGGUCGGCCUUGCCGAUGAACUGAGAGCUGCUGCUGCUCGGAAAGGAAAGCGUGAUUUCCUACAGAGACGUUUGGCUGGCAAGUGGACGAAUCCUUCUGUUUGUAGACAACUGCAGUUUCACUCCAGUACCCUGCCUAAAGAGAAGAACAAAAAGCCAACCCUGACCUUGGACCUGAGAAGUAGGCAGACAGAGAUGACAACAUCCACUGUACGGUCAGAACACUUCUGUGCCUCUCCCAUCUCCAUUUCUGCCUGGAGGCAGGAUCUGGUGGCCGCUGCCUCUUUCCGCAUCGCUGCGUUUCUUCACGACUGAUUUCCCCUCGUGGCACAGUGACAGCAAAUAUACCAACUAGAUCCCUACAAACAAAAGUAGCAGCCAAUUUUCUGAAGUCAAAGAAAACAGAAACAGAAAAAGAAACACUUUGAGUUGAAACAGUAAAGCGAGGGACAACAUUAAUGCAAAGAAAGACUUCAAAGCAGUAUACAAAUGGAUUACAUUAGAACCAUCUCCCACUAAUUAAACAGCCAUCAAAAGCAGCAGAACAGAGAUAUAGCAGCCAUGCAAGACUAGAAGGAUUCCACGCCGGUGUUUGAGGUUCAAUAAUGAACAACAGAUGCUACUGGGCUUUCUAUGUAACUGAGAGUAGUUACUUAGCCCUGCCUCGUUAAAACUAUUUGAGCGGAGCUUUCACAACAGCCAUCCAAAAUCUGCUUGCAAAUGACACCAAGCAAACUUAAAACUGCAGGACCUGAGCCAUACAGCCAGACAAGGGAUCUCGACAAAGCACUGCCUCCACACCUCGUGCAGGUAGGUGAAGGCUUCAUUUCUGCACCCAAAUCAGCUGCCAGUCAGUACGUAUUCAAUAGAGUUUGAAAUCUUUGUAUACAGAAAGUGCAAUCCAAAGCUACUACUUUACACUGUGGUAAGGACUCUCAAUACUUUCACUUUCUGAAACAAAUUUCAAAUGAUAAUUGGCCAUUAAGAAAAAAACCAAAUUUUUAUUCAUUUUGCUAAUGAUCUUGCAGAUAUAAAGCUUUAUUUCACAGGGCAAAACACACCUUACGUUACUGAGGUUACAGUUUGUGUGAUUGCUGGUGUGCCAUUUCAUCACAUACUUCUGAAAUCUGUCACUGCCAACUGUUGAUGUGCUCUGAAGCUCUUUACUAGGUGUAUGAAGGCACUUUCCAUAUGGCUCCAGUGAAUUUCCAUCAUUUGCACACAGGUUUGCAUGGAUAGUAUUAGUAAAGAAAUACCCAGUACAACUGACUGUAGAAUAUGUAAAACACUCAUUCAGAUUUCAAGUUAUUUAAAGCUAGAAAAAAAAAAAAAAAGCAGAUUUUCAGUCUUUAAUUAAUUAUUGCAAAUAGUAGCCUAAAAGCAAGGGAUAUAAAGAUUCUGAAUUACAGAACUCUGUGAGACAACUGUGCUCAAUAUUGGGUAAAAAAAUCCCUUCCUACACGAGUACUUUCCCCAUUUACAAUAAAUGAAUAUUACACCCCCAUUGCAUAAUAUUGGUCCUACCAUCUGAUUUUUGUACCUAGUUUAUUUUUAAAAACGGUCUUUAUCUUUGCCCUCCAUUCUAACUUAUUUGUGAUAAUUUUGUAACUAUUUGCUCCAGGAAAAGUUUGAUUAUAAUCACAUUGAUUGACUUUUUUUUCUUUUUUUUUUAAAAAUUGUCAUACUGACACAUUUCAUGUAAGGAUGUGUUGUUGUGCUUGCUUGUGUCUACACAAUGCAUUUGUGGUACAUCUUUCAUAAUUAUUGUAUGAAAACAUUGUAAACUUAUUUGAUGGCCACAGCCAGUACACUUCACCUUCAAAGGCAGACAAGUAGAACACGAAAGGAAAAAAUGUUAUUGUUGGAUGCAAAGAUCAGUCUGCUUGUCAAAACAUGAUUAGCAUCUUAUUUUAGCACUAAAACAAAGUCAGCGUAAGUAAAUGGUGGUCAUUUCUGAGAGGUGGCAUGCUCUGUCAGUUCCUGGUGCCUUCCGAGGAAGUUGCAGGUGAACACCAAGUCUGAAAUGCAGCCCCUAGGGUAAUGACUGGCAAUAAGGUAAUUGGGAAAACAAAAUAUAAAUGUAUAAUGAAACAAUACAGGCUACACACCGUGCUGCACCUAGUAAUUUCAGGCACUGUAAAACAAGCCCAGACAUUGCACAUUACAAGUUUCAAUUGGUGUCAAAAUGAAUGCAUCUUUGCUUCUCCCCAGUUCAAUCCCCCAGCCCUAGACAGUUCAGGUCUCUUCCUAAGAAAGACUGGAAAAGACUCCCACCAGUGACAGCCAACAUCAUGAGCUACAUAGCAACAAUAAAAAAAUGCUAUGGAGAGACUCAAGGUACUUUUUACCUCUCUAGAGACUCAGUUUUGCCAUCAGAGUACUGGCAGUACUGGCAGUAGGACUGCAAACUAGAAAUGACACUGGAUUCCCUGUAAAGCACUGUCGUCAUUGGCCACUGGCCCAAUCAAUACAAGCAUUCCUAUUCUAACAGUAUCAAUAUGUUCCUUCCUAUGCAAUCCUUUAAAUGCAAGUAACUCAAGCAUAGCAACUUAAAAAUAGCAGCUAUAGUGUUAAUUUAUGAUUUUUCUACAUGAAACAAUUCUCUCCUUGGAAAUCAGUGAACAUAAGGCAGUGGAUCCAGUGCAAAGUUUGAUUACCCAUAUUAACGUAUAAUUGGGAUCCUACAUGUAUGUGCUGUGAAGUGUUCAUGUAUAGCUACCAUUGAAUCCAAAAAAGCUGAACUAAAACCAGCUUUGUAUAUAGGACCUUCAGUCCUGGUAUCUGACAUGUUUCCUGACAUCCCAUAGAAAGACGAGGUGUCUUAAGGGUGAUCAGAAUGCCUGAGAUUGCAAGGGAGAAAAGAAGCUGCUUAGGUGGGGAAAAAAAAAAGAACAACAUAAAAUGCUUUGUUUCCAGAUCUGGAGAUUUUGCCAAAGAUGUAAUAACAUCAGUGUGCAUCUCCAGUAUUCAGUUCCCUGCUUGGCUGCAGUCUGUGGGUGAUUAUGGCUCUUGAUCUACAUGUGCUAACUUUUGAUCUGUAGAAAAGUGCUGUUACUUUUUAUUGUCAAGGGAUGUUGCACUGUUAAAUUCAUUAAAAACAGAGAUGAACCAACAGGGCACCUUCUUCUGUCUUUCCCCUCCAGCAACUGAAAUCACAUAAUCUCAAAAUAAUCCCAGCUGUACAUUUAAAGGGAAAGCUUUUACAGCCCAAUCUUUGCAAAUGCAACAAAAGCAGAAGAUAAAGCGAGGAAGGCAUCACACACUCUCUGACCAAGUCAUACAGCAAUAAAAUUCAAUAUAUUUCUUUUCAGAAGAGCACUUCAGCUUGCGAAGCACUUAUCCUUGUUGCGGCCUAGGGUGGGUUCAGAUUUAGAAGUUCUUCCCUAAGUUUGGUUGAAUAAUAAAACUGCCUGAGCCUGCAAACUUAGAAGCCCAUACAUGUAUUUAUGGAGUUUAUUACAUAUGCGGUUCUUCUCACCUUUAGUGGGAGUGGAAAAGUAAAUUUUAUUCUUUGAAUAGAAUAAAUCCAUGCUAUAAACAUAGGUAUUAUGUAGACCUCUUAAAUAAAAUCAUAAUUUAACAGGAACUGUCAACCUCUCUCCUAACAGCUUAUGUUACAAAUAAAAAUAGAGUUCAGGCUAAUAAGUAAAAAUCAAUGGUUUUAGAUGCACAGAGCAGCACUUGCCAGAAGGAUGCAAACAGAUAAAAGGGAACUUUUCCUCUGAAUUAACUCAGAACAAGUAAAUACAUACAGACUUCAGAUUAAAGAAAUUAGAGAUACUGAACACAUUUUGAAAUAGGCAAUACCUAAAAUAUUUUGAUAGAGAUGACGUGGAGGGUUUUAUAGGAUUCACAAUAUUUACCUCAGCAAUCUCUAUCCUUCUUGCAAGUUCAUCAAGAGAAGAAAAGCUGUCAUCUAGUGAUAAA